rnacentral:rRNA from 1 species
AGUGAACGCUGGCGGUAGGCCUAACACAUGCAAGUCGAACGGAAGGACAGUAAGAUCUUGCCCUUACGGGUGGCGAGGGGCGGGCGGGUGAGGAGUACAUAGGAAUCUACUUUUUCGUGGGUAAUAACGGGGGGAAGCUUACGCUAAUAGCGCAUACGAUCUACGGCAGAAAGCAGGAGUGCAUGGGAGCUUUGGCGACUGAAUGAGACGGUGCCGGGUUAGCUAGUUGGUGGGGUAAGGGCUCACCAAGGCAACGAAACGUAGCCCACCUGAGAGGAUGAUCGGCCACACUGGAACUGAGACACGGUCCAGACGCCUACGGGAGGCAGCAGUAGGGAAUCUUCCGCAAAGGGCGAAAGCCUGACGGAGCAACGCCGCGUGAGUGAUGAAGGUCUUCGGAUCGUAAAACUCUGUUAUUAGGGAAGAACAAAUGUGUAAGUAACUAUGCACGUCUUGACGGUACCUAAUCAGAAAGCCACGGCUAACUACGUG